rnacentral:rRNA from 1 species
AUUGAACGCUAGCGGGAUGCCUUACACAUGCAAGUCGAACGGAGUGGCGAACGCGUGCGUAAUGUAUCUGAACGUGCCCAGUCGCGGGGGAUAACUACGCGAAAGCGUAACUAAUACCGCAUACUAUUGGAGCGGCCGAUAUCGGAUUAGCUAGUUGGGGGGGUAACGGCUCACAAAGGCGACGAUCCGUAGCUGGUUUGAGAGGACGACCAGCCACACUGGGACUGAGACACGGCCCAGACUCCUACGGGAGGAAGCAGUGGGGAAUUUUGGACAAUGGGGGAAACCCUGAUGCAGCCAUCCCGAGUGUGCGAAGAAGGCCUUCGGGUUGUAAAGCACUUUGGGCGGGAAAGCGGUACCUGCAGAAUAAGCACCGGCUAACUACGUGCCAGCCGCCGCGGUAAUAC